rnacentral:rRNA from 1 species
AUUGAACGCUGUCGGCAGGCCUAACACAUGCAAGUCGAACGAGUUGCGGACGGGUGAGUAAUGUCGGGGAAACUGCCUGAUGGAGGGGGAUAACUACUGGAAACGGUAGCUAAUACCGCAUACCAUCAGAUGUUCCCAGAUGGGAUUAGCUUGUUGGUGGGGUAACGGCUCACCAAGGCGACGAUCCCUAGCUGGUGUGAGAGGAUGACCAGCCACACUGGAACUGAGACACGGUCCAGACUCCUACGGGAGGUAGCAGUGGGGAAUAUUGCACAAUGGGCGGGAGCCUGAUGCAGCCAUGCCGCGUGUAUGAAGAAGGCAUUCGGUUUGUAAAGUACUUUCAGCGGGGAGGCGUUAACCGCAGAAGAAGCACAGGCUAACUCCGUGCUAGCAGCCGCGGUAAUUC